UUUGAUCUGUUGGAAUGUCGAAGCUAUAAGUAAUAUUCUUUCCAAUUUCAGAGUCUCCUUUAUGCAAGUAGGGCUUGCACUCAUUGGGAAGAUCUUAUAAGUUUUGACAUUCAUUUUUUAUGCAAGAAUCUUGACUCUCUGCCUGAGGUGAUUGAAGUUACUAUGGGUCUCUAUACUUAUGAAGUUAAGCUAUGCUGCCCUCACAAUCCCUCAGAGAAUCUCAGCUUCUCCUAAAAUG
rnacentral:lncRNA from 1 species